rnacentral:rRNA from 1 species
UUUUAGUAAGUUAUUAACUCCUAUUAAUUUAUUUAUAUGGUGGCACAAAAUCGGAAGCCCCGACUGUUUACUAAAAACACAACUAUCUGCAAUUAUGAAAAUAAUAGUAUAGGUAGUGAGAUUUGCCCAAUGCCAGAUUAAUAAGUAAUAAUAAUGGGUAACUGUUUCUUUACAAAAAAUUGGUUAAUAGCGGUCUUAACUAUGAGGAUCCUAAGGUAGCAAAAUAAAUUGGCCAUUAAAUGUGGUCCAGUAUCAAUAAUUUAACGAUGGCUUCACUGUCUCUACAACUUGCUCAGUGAAAUUGAAUUACCCGUGCAGAUGCGGGUUACCUCAAAGAGGACGGGAAGACCCUAUGCAGC